GUCAUGUUAGACCAUUUAGUUUCAGCAAUCAAGGAAAACUGUUACAGUGAUGGAGGUAAUUUAUCUAAUUCUGUGUUUUACUAUUUCUGUCUUCAUCAGUGACUGAACAGAAGGAGAAUCAGAGGGUGACAUUAAGCUGCUCUGUAGUGACCUCUGACCUCUGUAGAUACAAAGUAAAGUGGGUUUAUCAAGAUGUGGACAACAGCCAAACUCCAGCAGAAACUGGCUGCUCUGCUACUUUCCUUUUAUUAGCAGAGUCUAAGUUACCUCAGUGUAAAGUGACUCAUAGUUCUACUAAUGAAGAGUUUACCUUCAGUUUUCAGUCCUCAGAAACAUCAGGAGGAAAAGUUCAACUAACAACAAAACCUGGAAACAAAAACUCAGAGACAACCAAACAUACGGACAACGUUCCACCAAACUUUCCAGGUUUGUGGCACAUUGUUAUCGUCUCUGUGGGGUUAGCAGCACUUUCAAUAACUGUUGUGAGCGUCAGCAUUUGGAAUAAAGAAGAUGACAAUGCACUGAUCUGUAAGUGAUGACUUGUUAGUUUCUCUGAAACUUUUCCAAACAUCAGCUUCAUCUGAAAAACAGUCAUUGAUUUAUAUUUUCACUGCUCACUUUUUGAGAAAAAUCACGGUAAUACAGUUUCUGUUGUACCACAGCUGUAAAAAAGUAUACUAAAUGUUUUAAACAGAUACAGUUUUAGGUUUUUAUGUGUUGUA